UCCUGCAUUUCCUGUGUUACGGGGGGGGAAAAGGUGUUUAUGUACAGCAAGAACUGAUGAACUCAGGGCUGAAGAGCAUUUUGUUCUCUGUGGCAGCUCUAUCCCUUUCCUUAGGGGAGAUCUAUGUUAGAAACAAAAAUGUCAUAGGGGAAGGUUGUGAAUUCUAAAUGAACCGUGGGGACCUCACGAACCUCUUCAGCUUAGUGGUUUCCAGGAAGCCCCAGGCUGAGCCAAACUUUGUGACUUAGCUGGUGUGAGUCUUUGGCUGUCAUCUUGACCACAAACUUCAAGAUAUGCAGGCAUGGGAGGCUGGGGGCCUUUUUUAUUUUUCUCUACCUCACUUUGCCAGGUUCAAGGCAAAGACAGAAUCCAGUCCUCUGAUCUGUGAACUUCUGACGAUUCCCCGCCCUCAAUGUGCUGGUGGCUGGAGUGCAGUGGCACAAUCUCAGCUCACUGCAACCUCCACCUCCCAGGUUCAAGCCAUUCUCCUGCCUCAGUCUUCCAAGUAGCUGGAAUUACAAGUACCCACCAUCAUGCCUGGCUAAUUUUUGUAUUUUUAGCAGAGAUGGGAUUUCACUAUGUUGGUCAGGCUGGUCUCAAACUCCUGACCUUAGGUGAUCCACCCACCUCAGCCUCCCAAAGUGCUGGGAUUACAAGUGUGAGCCGCCGCACCCUACCUAGAGAGAGAUAGAUUUCUUACAAUGUUAUUUGAGCACCUGGAUCCAGCUGGACCUGAAACCACAACUCCUGCACAUUUUUGUUAAUGGCACCAAUACAGUUACAUUUUGAUGUAAGUUGGAUUGAGCUGAAUUUCUGUAAAGUCAGUAAAGGAGUUCUCACUGGUACCUCCAGCUUCCCCUGG